rnacentral:rRNA from 1 species
GAUGAACGCUGGCGGCGUGCUUAACACAUGCAAGUCGAACGAUGAAGCCCAGCUUGCUGGGUGGAUUAGUGGCGAACGGGUGAGUAACACGUGAGUAACCUGCCCUUAACUCUGGGAUAAGCCUGGGAAACUGGGUCUAAUACCGGAUAGGAGCGUCCACCGCAUGGUGGGUGUUGGAAAGAUUUAUCGGUUUUGGAUGGACUCGCGGCCUAUCAGCUUUUUGGUGAGGUAAUGGCUCACCAAGGCGACGACGGGUAGCCGGCCUGAGAGGGUGACCGGCCACACGGGGCCUGAGACACGGCCCAGACUCCUACGGGAGGCAGCAGUGGGGAAUAUUGCACAAUGGGCGCAAGCCUGAUGCAGCGACGCCGCGUGAGGGAUGACGGCCUUCGGGUUGUAAACCUCUUUCAGUAGGGAAGAAGCGAAAGUGACGGUACCUGCAGAAGAAGCACCGGCUAACUACGUG